rnacentral:rRNA from 1 species
GUUGUUGCAGUUAAAAAGCUCGUAGUUGGAUUUUGGACAUCGUCUGUCGGUCCGCCUUAACGGUGAGUACUGACGGGUGGAGUCUUCCGGCUGAAGGCUAUCUGUGCUCUUCAUUGGGUGUAGGUAGAAUUCAGCCAAUUUACUUUGAAAAAAUUAGAGUGUUCAAAGCAGGCCUUUGGCUUGAAUACAUUAGCAUGGAAUAACAGAAUAGGACUUUGGUUCUAUUUUGUUGGUUUCUAGGACCGAAGUAAUGAUUAAUAGGGAUAGUUGGGGGCAUUAAUAUUUAAUUGUCAGAGGUGAAAUUCUUUGAUUUAUGAAAGAUUAACUUCUGCGAAAGCAUUUGCCAAGGAUGUUUUCAUUAAUCAAGAACGAAAGUUAGGGGAUCGAAGAUGAUCAGAUACCGUCGUAGUCCUAACCAUAAACUAUGCCGACUAGGGAUCAGUGGAUGUUAUUUUCGACUCCAUUGGCACCUUGUGAGAAAUCAAAGUUUUUGGGUUCCGGGGGGAGUAUGGUCGCAAGGCUGAAACUUAAAGGAAUUGACGGAAGGGCACCACCAGGAGUGGAGCCUGCGGCUUAAUUUGACUCAACACGGGGAAACUCACCAGGUCCAGACAUAGUGAGGAUUGACAGUUUGAGAGCUCUUUCUUGAUUCUAUGGGUGGUGGUGCAUGGGCGUUCUUAGUUGGUGGAGUGAUUUGUCUGGUUAAUUCCGUUAACGAACGAGACCUUAACCUGCUAAAUAGUUACAUCAUUUCCGAAUGAUGGACAACU